GAAUUUCUUCCUGGGUUCAUACCUCUAGAAUAAAAUUUUUAUCUUAGCUUCCAGACUCAUCUAAAAUAAAAGAAGUCAAGGAAUCCUACAUCUGUGAUGCAUUAGAGGACCUGAAAUUUUUCUUCAAGAAAAGGAAGGAUAUACUCAGAUUAAUUAACGAAGAUCUGCAUUACUUAUACACUUUUGGACUGAUUUCUUCCUAUGCUGUGGAACUUAUAAAACCCUCCACUGCAAUGGAACACAUUUAGUGUUCUACAAUUUUGAGAGUUCAGCUAGCAGAAGCUCCUGGGUCUGAAAGGAAGACCCAUCAUCAGUUUACCAGACUCACAAUCAGCCAGAGUGGGAGAACAGGUUUUGCUGUCUGUGCAACAGAAGAAGGUUCUUGCUUUGCUGACAAGGCCGGCCUCAAACUCAUGAUCCCACUGCCGAGGUCUUCUGAGUGCAGAGGUUGCAAUUAUGUUGUAGACUCAAUAAAAAUCUGUUCUUCAAAGUGCUAAACUGAAUCAUGAAGUAAUCAUGAAGUCACCUGAAGAUCAAAUUCAUAAACAUACAGAUCUUAGUGGUGUCCAGUAACUGUGAAUUAUGACUUAGUUUCCUCUGAAAGAUGUGCAAGCCCUCAAGGGGAAGCUG
rnacentral:lncRNA from 1 species